UACAGAGGGUGCAAGCGUUAAUCGGAAUUACUGGGCGUAAAGCGUGCGUAGACGGUUAUGUAAGUCAGAUGUGAAAGCCCCGGGCUACAACCUGGGAAUUGCAUUUGAGACUGCAUAGCUAGGGUGCGGAAGAGGGAAGCGGAAUUUCCGGUGUAGCGGUGAAAUGCGUAGAUAUCAGGAGGAACACCGGUGGUGUAGACGGCUUUCUGGACCGUAACUGACGCUGAGACACGAAAGCGUGGGUAGCAAACAGG
rnacentral:rRNA from 1 species